UGCAUCGAUGAAGAACGCAGCGAAAUGCGAUACGUAGUGUGAAUUGCAGAAUUCCGCGAAUCAUCGAGUCUUUGAACGCAAGUUGCGCCCGAGGCUUGUCCGAGGGCAUUUCCGCUAGAGCGUCACCGCGCCCCCCCACCGAUCCGCUCCCCCCGCGGGAGUUGUCGAGUGAACGUGGCCAUCCCGGCGGCUUGCUUGCUUGCGAAGGCAGGCAGGCCUAAGGGUUGGCUGAAAUGGAAGGAAUUGGGCCGCCGUGGUGACACAGUCCGCGAUCGGGUGAUCCGAGCUCCUCCGGGAGCCCGGAAUUUUUCUAAGUGUGGCUGCGUCCCCCAGUUGGUUUUGGUUACCUCGUGCAGGUCGAGCGCGCCCCCGCGGCGCGCGUCACGCAUCAGACCUCUAAUCGGAAAAGACUACCCGCUGAGUUUAAGCAUAUCAAUAAGCG
rnacentral:rRNA from 1 species